rnacentral:rRNA from 1 species
UCCGGUUGGUCCCGCCGGAGGUCACUGUUAUCAGGGUUCGAUUUAGCCAUGCGAGGCGUGAGUCUUCUGGACUCGCCGAACUGCUCAGUAACGCGUAGUUAACCUGUUCUUAGCUGGGAGAUAAUCCUGGGAAACUGGGGCUAAUAUCCCAUAAGUUUUGGAUGCUGGAAUGCACCAAAGCUGAAAGUUCCGACGGCUAAGAGUGGGACUGCGGCGUAUCAGGCCGUAGUGAGUGUAAUAUACUCACUAGCCUAUAACGCGUAGGGGACAUGAGAGUGUGAGCCCCGAGUUGCAUUCUGAGACAUGAAUGCAGGUCCUACGGGACGCAGCAGGCGCGAAACCUUUCCAAUUCGUUAGCGCGUGAGAAGGGAACCCUGAGUGGUUAUGUUAUGCAUAACCUUUUCCUUAGCCUCGAAAGCUAGGGGAAUAAGUGGUGGGCAAUACAGGUGCCAGCCGCCGCGGUAAUACCUGAGCCACGAAUGGUGAUCAUUUUUAUUGGGUCUAAAGUGUCCGUAGCCGGCUUAGCAAGUUUCUGGUGAAAUCUGGCAGCAAACUGUCAGGCGUGCUGGAAAUACUACUAGGCUUGAGAUCGGGAUAGGAUAGGGGUAUUCCACGUGUAGGGGUUAAAUCCUUUGAUCCGUGGAGGACCACCGGUGGCGAAGGCGCCUAUCUGGAACGAGUCUGACGGUGAGGGACGAAAGCCAGGGGAGCAAAUGGGAUUAGAUACCCCAGUAGUCCUGGCCGUAAACGAUGUCCGCUUGGUGUCGCGUGCUUUACGAGAGUAUGCGGUGCCGGAACGUAGGUGUUAAGCGGACCACCUGGGGAGUACGGUCGCAAGGCUGAAACUUAAGGGAAUUGGCGGGGGAGCACACAAGGGGUGGAGGCUGCGGUUCAAUUGGAGUCGACGCCGGAUACCUCACGAAGGUUGACAGCAAAAUGAAGGUCACUCUAACGGGGUUACCUGAUGCGCUGAGAGGUGUUGCAUGGCCAUCGUCAGCUCGUACCUUGAGGCGUGCCGUUAAGUCGGUUAACGAGCGAGACCCACGCUACUAGUUGCCACCGUAAUUUGUAUUUUGGAGCAAUCCAGGAAAUGAAUUAUGAGCACUCUAGUAGGACCGCUGGUGCAAAACCAGAGGAAGGUGUGGGCAACGAUAGGUCCGUAUGGCCCGGAUAUCUUCGGCUACACGCGGCCUACAAUGAUUGGGACAAUGUGAUGCAACUCCGAAAGGAGAAGCUAAUCACCCAAACCCAACCCUAGUUCGGAUUGAGGAUUGUAACUCGUCCUCAUGAAGCCGGAAUCCCUAGUAAGCGAAAGUCACUAUCUUUCGCUGAAUACGUCCCUGCUCUUUGCACACACUGCCUGUCAAGCCAUGCAAGUGGGUUCUUGGUGAGGCUUAACUUUAAUUAAGUCGAGCCAGGGGUCCGUGAGUGGGGCUA